rnacentral:misc_RNA from 1 species
UUUCCGUAGGUGAGCCUGCGGAAGGAUCAUUAUUGUAUAACCGAGGUGCGAGGGCUGUCGCUGACCCGAAAGGUCGUGCACGCCCGAGUGCCCUCACACACAUCCAUCUGACCCCUAUGUGCACCACCGCGUGGGUCCCCCUUUGGCUUGUUCGGAGGGGGGCUUACGUUUUCACACAAACUUUGUAUGCAGUGUAGAAUGUAUCUUUUGUUUUUGCGAUCACGCAAUCAAUACAACUUUCAACAACGGAUCUCUUGGCUCUC